GCCACCUUAGCUCAGCCGGUAGAGCGACGCUUUCGUAAAGCGUAGGUCCUCGGUUCAAAUCCGAGAGGUGGCUCCA
rnacentral:tRNA from 1 species